ensembl:lncRNA
CGUGAUAACUGCGCGACGGGAAACGUGCCGCUGCUGGAGCCACAGAGGUCUUCCCACCUAAUCAGCAACCGGCGUAUACGGGCUUCAGGACAGAGUGAUGUUGGCAUGAUGUGGCUGAUUAGAGUCAAUCAGCGGGGCGGGGGAAACCGACAUUUCAAAACAACCACGCAGACAGAGGUCUGGAAUUUCUCCUCUGAGCACAUCAGCUAAGGGCACAUCCCAAUUUUCCAUGGACCAAAUGACAGCUUGAUUGUGAGCGCCAUGUUCACGUGGAAUUGGGAUGCUGAUUUGGUGCAUUUAAAGAGGAUCCAGAGAGGAGAAAGGCUGAAUACAAUCAACCAAAAGUUAAAUAGAACAUUGGUGUCAAAGAAAUUGAUUGUCCAAGAUGUUGUAAGGGAGAUAAAAUAUCCCAAGAACAAGUCACUUUUAAACCAUUUUGUUGCGUAGCAUAAUCAGGGAAAUUUUAGAAUCAUCAUUGUAUGAGUUUGCACCACUGAUUUAGGUUCAUAUGCACAUUUGAUUAUGCCAAGUGCACGCAGGGAAUAAUAAUUCAGCAUGCUUGCUUAAAACACUAUCUAUAGUGAAAAUGUUGCUGUUAUUUUUAUGAUGGUGUGUUUAAAAUGUUGCUGAAAACAUAAAAUUGCUUUAAGGUCUAAAAAACACUUUCAAUUGUUGAACUAGUUC